GAUGGCUUAAAAAGAGUCGAGCAAGUGAUACAAAUGCACGCACAUAUAUGGCAAAGGGUAACUCACAUUUAUUGGUGGCUGUACUGACCACGGAACGUGUAGCUUUCCCCGGCUUGGCAGCCGCCUGUUUGAGCUUCUUUUGUAGCUCCUUUUGCUUCUUGGGCGUAGUCUUGAUAUAGCAGUUGCCCUCGUCAUCUAUGAAAUACUUAUCCUCGUCGUCCUCCUCCUCCUCCUCCGCUUCCUCCGCAUGAUCCAAAUCAGCCUCCGCCUCCUCCAUCGGUUUCGAUCCACCAGCCUCCGCACCAUUUUCAUCCAAGUCGAUGGCCUCGGCGCUGAUGGCCUCCAAAAUCGUGUUUACCACCUUCUCAUCGCUGUUGCCUUCGAUCUCCUUAUGGAAAUUGUUGAGGAAGGUCUGCAGAUCCUCGGGGUCCUCGUCCUUUUUUGUCCUCCUUGGCAUUCCUAUGGAC
rnacentral:lncRNA from 1 species